GUGCUCACAGUGUACACAGCCUUUGAGGUAGGGGUUGUAAGAGCUUGUCACUCAGCGCAGGCGCAUCUUUAUGUCCCUGCCUCCGGCCGGUCGCCCUGGGCCUCAAGGCAGCUGGAAGAAGGUGAGGAAGUGUAAGGAUCGGCUCACUGGGAGGAGCUGUGGAAAGCUGAACUUUCGAUGGGAGACCACAGGUGGUGUAGACCGCGCCCCCAGCGGAUUCGAACCAGGGCAGCGAUGGGCAGGCAGAAGCAAGAGUGCACCUGGAGCUGCAGGUGUGUUUGGUGGCCUCCUGUCUUCUCCGGACGGCAAAUAACCUAGUUUUGAUCUGAAUCGGUUUCUGCGGGAUGGGAUCUCCUACAGGACCUGAGACCAAGUUUUGCCUGCAGCCUGAGGGACAGUUGAUGGUGGCCAGCCGGAGCUGAGAAGUUAGCAGUGAUUAAGACGCCAGCAUCAUCACAGUGAAACCUUCUGCAGGCAUCUCCUCAGAGUCAGCACACAGAAGCUGUGGUCCAGGAUGGGUGAGGCUACGUCCCAUGCUGUAGCUGAUCUGGUGAUGUCUAAGAAUCACUCUGGUCCUGCUGGCUCUGAAGGCAUGAAGGGAUCAUGUCAAGCAGCUGAGGCUUGGUCCUGCGUGGCAGGCCUUGAGGUUCUGAAGAGAGACCAGGCGAGGCCAAUGAUAAGGGUGAGCCACAGCCACAGCUGACCCCAGGAUAUUGGAGAUACCAACCAGGACCAUGGAAUGACUGCCAAGGUCAGGGCAGUCAUAGAGUGGAACUAGUCUGAACCCGUGAGAUAAUGUAUGUUCCUUGGAGGGCAGAGUGGAUCUCACCCCAGGCCCUUUGGAGCCCAGAAGAUGUGAGUACGACCCAGACACAAGCACAGAACUUUUUAUACCGUUGAACUUUGGCUUUGCAUUGAUCUAACUGUGACUGUGUCCUGGUUCUUUCUUCUUGAAGAAAGUAUUUAACUUACCUUUUAUUUUACAGGAGCCCACGGUUGAGGGACUUUGGACUUUUGAAAAGACUUUCCAAAAGACAUUUUUUUAAAACUUGGACUUUUGAAAGUGUUGAAAAAUUAAGACUGUGGAAUUUUUAAAGUUGUUUAGGUUUUAUGUUGUGGUAUUAAUAUGAUAUUUCAGGAUAAACAAAAAAGGAAGGGUUAUGAUUUCAUAGUAAUGUAUUGGUUUGUCAAACUGACAAAAGGUCAGUUGUCCUGGUUGUGUGUGUGUGUGUGUGUCAACUUGACACAAAAUUGUCAUCCUCAAUUGAGAAAAAUGCCUCCAUUAUCUUGACUGUGGGUAAGUCAUUAAUUUUUUUAAAAUAUAUCAUUUUAUGCAUA